GAUGAACGCUGGCGGCGUGCCUAAUACAUGCAAGUCGAGCGAACAGACGAGGAGCUUGCUCCUCUGACGUUAGCGGCGGACGGGUGAGUAAAACGUGGAUAACCUACCUAUAAGACUGGGAUAAAUUCGGGAAACCGGAGCUAAUACCGGAUAAUAUAUUGAACCGCAUGGUUCAAUAGUGAAAGACGGUUUUGCUGUCACUUAUAGAUGGAUCAGCGCCGCAUUAGCUAGUUGGUAAGGUAACGGCUUACCAAGGCGACGAUGCGUAGCCGACCUGAGAGGGUGAUCGGCCACACUGGAACUGAGACACGGUCCACACUCCUACGGGAGGCAGAAGUAGGGAAUCUUCCGCAAUGGGCGAAAGCUUGACGGAGCAACGCCGCGUGAGUGAUGAAGGUCUUCGGAUCGUAAAACUCUGUUAUUAGGGAAGAACAAAUGUGUAAGUAACUAUGCACGUCUUGACGGUACCUAAUCAGAAAGCCACGGCUAACUACGUG
rnacentral:rRNA from 1 species